rnacentral:misc_RNA from 1 species
GGAGGGGACCAACGAACGGGGACCUGAUUACUCUACUAGACAUUAGUAACUAACUUAGAAAGACGAGCUUCCUUCUAUUGGAACAGGAAACGAGAGGAGAAAGAUACCACUGGUGUAGAUGAAAGUGAGUCUGAUUCCAAACUAGUUUAUUCCUGCUAUCCCAUAUUCCCCACAUGAGCACUAAAGCUCCAUCACUGACUUCGAAAUCAAGGGAAGAAAAAAGAUUGCUUAAACCUUCCAUAACUGAGUUUACAUUCCCAGCCAAAAAACCAAUAUUGGACAAUCUCCAGCAAUCUUGAGCAAAAUGGCAUCGAAACAACGUAUGCUUAGUGGAUUCCGAAUUCAAAUAGCAAACAGAGUAAAACUCUUCCAUGUUAACUCUCUUCUUCAACAACUGAACCAUUGUAGGAAGC